ACUCACCACAGAUUUAGGGACACGAGGCACGGGCUUGUUAGGAACUCAAGAAAAUUGAAUCCUGUCGCCAGGAACUGGGUUACACAAUAACACAAUAGUAACACCAUGUAGUUCUAUAAAUAAACUGUAAGAGCUUCCCACUCCUUCCCUUCUCUCCUCCCACCUCCUUGAUGUCCAACAUUAAACAGGCUGCCAUGACAUCUUCUCGUGUGAGCGAGUGAGUAGGUGUCAAGUCAAACUGAAGCUGUCAAGUCAAGCUGGAGCUGUCCAGAUAGUAAUGGGACAAACCGGAUGUGACCAAUCUGCCUGAGUGUCCCAUUUAAAAGAGCGCCGCUUGGCGUUAUGGAAGCGCAGAGAGGAUGUGUUCGUGACUACGUCGAAAUCCGGACCAAGAUUGUGCAGGGCCCAAAUAUCUAUCGAGACCAAAGAGGCAGCCGGUAACACGCUGAACCUUUUAGCUUGAGAGACUGUUACCUGCUGGAGAUCGCUGCCGCUACUCGUUUGAUUGACGCUGGAUUUAUGUCAUGAUCGGUAGCGCACUUGUGUGUGUGGCUCGCUGUGGAAACCCGUCUGUUGGAUCAGGAUGAAGAUGAGAACGUCCGGAGCUCUAUGUGGCUUCUUCCUGUUGACACUCGUUGUCCUCGCCGCCGCCAGGCCGAGAGCAGUGUCACAGGAUGUAAACAGUGACACCUCUUGCAGAGGAGAGUCAGGUUGGAGAUCGAGGUGAAGGACCCGUGUGCCUGUGAGGGUCUGGUGGAGUUCCAGCAAGCUACCAUGAGCAGCCUGGAGCAGAUCACAC